AUGGGUGUAGCUCAGUGGUAGAGCAUAUGCUUAGCAUGCUUAAGGCCUUGGGUUUGAUCCCCAACACCCAAC
rnacentral:tRNA from 1 species